UACGGGGGGGGGUAAGCGUUGUUCGGAAUUACUGGGCGUAAAGGGCUCGUAGGCGGCCAACUAAGUCAUACGUGAAAUCCCUCAGCUUAACUGGGGAACUGCGUGUGAUACUGGAUGGCUUGGAUUUGGGAGAGGGAUGCGGAAUUCCAGGUGUAGCGGUGAAAUGCGUAGAUAUCAGGAAGAACACCAAUGGCGAAAAGCAGCUCUCUGGGACGGUACUGACGCUGAGACGCGAAAAGCGUGGGGGAGCGAACAGG
rnacentral:rRNA from 1 species